UUCAAGACCUAGGGGCUGGGUGUGCAUUUCAUUUCUCUUACAUAGGAUGCUAAGCUGAGUGGACUUAAGGUAUAGGUAAAAACAUAGAUGCCAGCAGAUGAGCCUCUAGUUGACUAAUUUCUCUUUUAGAAAACCUUCCUUAAGAAAAGCAGAAAAUUCUCAUGUUUCCAAAAUGGUCCCUUCCCUGCCCUUUCCACUAGAAGCACGGAGUAUUUUUCUAUGCUCCUUAAUGUGCACCUGAUUGGAAUUUUGGAUGUAAGUUGCACAGAAUUGUGAGAGCAUCCUCUUGUGCUGGCUUCUGAGAAUUUAAACAUUUAUAUUCAUAUAUACUAAGUGUUCAACAGUUCAUGCAACAUAGUUCAGGUUUCCAACACAAUUCCUGCUUCCAUGGCUACACCCCUUUCUAAUCCUCUGCUCCUGUACACCAUGACUCCCUGAUUUUUCCAUGUCUGUUUCCUCUUGGCAGUAGCAGUUUGCCCCAUACCUUCUCUAUAAGACCUGAGAAAUCUGUUUAACUUCUUCAUUCUGCUUUUGUUGUUAGAGCAACAUGGCAUCUUCAUACUCCAUAUGUUGAAAAACAGUACACUGAGUUCUCAUAAAUGUUAUGUGUUAUCUCCCUGCCUUUCUUUGGAGACAUUUCUGAAAUGUUAUUCCUUUAGUUUUCUCGGCCUGUCACAGCCUAGAGGACUUGGUGAACUUCCCUUCAACAUUCAUCACUGAGCAUCAUCUGCUCCAUGCCCUGUCUUGAAAUCCUUCUACAUCAACUCCAAGAAACUGUUAAUAAUGUAUCCUAAGGAUCUGAUUUCCUUUUCCUAUUGUUCACUGCAUAUAUUAUCUUUAUAUCAAUAAAAAUGCUGUCACGUAAUUUUCCUAAAUAGGCAAUGAUUGAUCGUUAACUAUUUAACCAAUUUUAAGCCCCCAGCCCAGCCCUCAUGUAAUAAAAUCCCUCAUGUUCUAGUCUACCUGCUAGUACUAUCAUGGCUUCUUCCCAUUUCCAUGUUUGCAUGUCCUGGUGAGCUACCUGGUUAGUAACUUCUCAGUUCUCCCUGCUUUCACAAUUUCCUAACUACACACCGAGUAUUCUUCAUGACCUCAAAUGUUUCUCGACCCACUGAGCUCUUCUGAAAACCCUCCCUUAUCCAUUAAGUCUCAGCUUCUCUCCCCUCUUGCCUAUUGCUUUUGAAAAAGAACUCACUACUGUGUUGUUCUUUCUGUUUGGUUUCUAUGUAUUGUCCCCCUUCCUCCUUUCAUAGGCCUGUGAAUUUCUAGUGAUCAGGGAAGGAAUGUCUUCCUUAUAUCACUAGCAGUAAGCACUGCUUCUAUGUGGACAGAGGUGAGAUUCACUGUGCUGCUGAGUGCCAUGUUGACCUUAAUACAUGGUGUGAGUCUUAUGAACUUUUUGAUAACUCCAUCAAUAUCGUUUUCUUUUGUAUGUUGAAUUAUAAGCUACUUGGCAUAAGGGUUCUUGCUUUUAAAAGUCACACAGAUUUAGCCAAUAAAUAGUUUGAAGUGUUUAUGUACCAAUCAGGUCACAUUUGCAAGGCCCAACCCUAGAAGCCAUUUUUGCUAGUGAAGAGCCUGCAGUGUAAAGGGCUUCCCAUCUGUGUGUACUCUAUCUUUCACUAGAUCAAAUAGGGUAGAAGUGACUAUUUUCCAAUCUAUACAUUCUGGACUUGACUCAGAAAGGGAUAUACAGACUAAAUCCAGGGACUAGAUGUAGGGAUGGGAUAUAUUUUUUCAACAGUCAUCAUUUAACAGUGUUUUAUAAGCACAUACUGCAGGGAAAUAGGGCUAAUAAGCAUAGUCUCAAUAAAAAUUAAAGGGAUGUGUGUGUUUGGAGUGUUUUUUCCAAUCAUUAUAUUGAUGAUGUAAGAAUAUAAAUAUUCUGCACAGGAAAUACAAACACACUUAAAGAAAUGUAAAUUAUUUGUUAAGAAACCAUAUUUACCUGUGAGCAUAAGGAGCUAAAAGCAGAGAAUUGUUUCAUGUUCUUUAUACACUAGUUAACUCACUGUGUGUCAAGCAUAUGAUUAAGUAACAGCCAUUUUGAUUGUCCUUGAGUGUUACAGAGGAUGACUAGACUCCCUUAACUUAUUCUGGGCAACGAUUUCUUUAAUGCUUAGUAAAAGAACCUCUGUCCUGUUCUGAUCAGAAAAUGCCCCUUCCUGACUUCAGGCAUCUAUAAAACAGCAAGACAUACUAGUUUAUCAAUAUAACCUUAUUGAUUAAGAAGCCUUGUGAUUGUAUACAACAGAAACUCCAUGGAAAAAACUUCAGAGUGCCUUUGACAUCUACAGAAUAAGAUCAAAAUCAAAAGGUAGGCAGAGGACAAUUUCCUGCUAAUUAGAGAAAAGGGGCUUUAUUUUUAUAAUUACUGAAAAGUUCCAAGAAUACUACAAAGCUACUCCUAAUUACACCCUUCAUUUGUCUCUCCCUACUUCUAGGAAAUUAGCAUUUUCAAAAUACAAUAGUAUUUGAAAAUACCUUAUUACCAAUAGGGUAACUUUCAGGUCAUAUUAAAAUUCACCAGUGUUUGCCUCUUCCACCAUGUAAUUUUUUUCCGUUCUAGAAUUCCAUCCAAGACCUCAGUUUGUGUUUAGUUUUCAUGUCCCAUUAGUUUGUUCCAAUUUGAGACAGUCCCUGAUUUUUUUCCCCUUAUCUUUUGUGAUUUGGGCAAUUUUUAAUGGGUCUUGUACAUUUGUUAUACAAAAUAUGAUUCAGUGAAAAAUAGCAGAGAAAUCCUUGUGCUGUUCCCUGGGAAUCAUAUGAAGGGUGCAUGAGUGUCUCACUACUGGGGAUAUUAGCCUCCAACACUCCUUUAAGAGGAUGGCUAAAGGGCCUACUCUUCUCUUUCAAUUGAUGUGUCUGGAGACAUCUAUUUGGAGUUAAUCUUAUACCACAUGCAUUUCAUCCCUAACAUUUGCACAGUGAUUUUUAGAGCACAGUGAUAGAUGUCUCCUGUAUUGGUGGCAUUUACCUAAUGGCUGUUUUGUAUUGUCCUAAGGUGACAAUUAUUCUGUCCUUAUGGAAAAUACCAUUUAACAUGCUAUAAGAUAAAAAGGAGUAAAAUAGUGUUUAAUAGUAUUUAAUGACUUAGUCAAAUGCAAGAAAUUUCACUAGCAUAUGGCAUAUGCAUAUGUAUUUAGAGCUGUGUGUUUAUAUGUAAAUUCUAUACUAUAUACAGAUUAUGAUAUUAAUACUUAUGUCAUAUGUCUAGUAUACAUCUCUAUAAUAAAUAAAAGCCAUCUGAGCAUAUAUGUUCAUGGUUAUAAGAUACAGGCAUACUGUCUGUAUGAUAUACUAUUAUGGUAUCUAUGUUUGUUUGUUUAGAAAUAUAUUCUAAGCAUCCUUCCACACAGGUGUGCUUCCUCUCACUGAAAGGCUGGCAUCGUUCCAUUGCAAUGAGCGUCGUUAAUUUAUUUGACUCUCUUCAUUGGCGUUUUACUUUAGCUUUUGUAUUUUUGAUUGCAGAUAGUCUUUAUGCAUCUUUAUGUAGCUCUCAAGCUAAGGAUAUAUUCAUUUUUAUGCAGAUUUUCUGUCCUACAAGGUUGGUGCCAAUUUAUUCUCUUGCCAGCAGCAUAUGUGCAUGCAAGAUGCAGUGUGUCUUCCCCUAAUACUGGCUACCAUGCUCUUAUGAAUCUCUUUUUUAUUAUCUCUUUUCUGAUACAUUAGAGUAUUUUUCCUGUUUCCCUGCCAUCUUUCUAUAUACUGUGCUCACUUCCUUUCCUGUACUUAUCGCCAAGAUGGCAUUGUUUAUUUUUGAAAUCUGUGUGCAUCAUAACCCUUCUCACUCAGAGGAGGCUGUGAUACUUAAUACUGCAGCAGUCCCCGCCCCCAACACCAUCAAUUGUUUUACUUAGAACAGUUGACACUCAAUUAUGUAUCUUCCUCAACUCUUAGGUGUUAAGUCUUAGGAUGAAGGACUUUAUAUUCAGUAUCUGUCAGGGUCGCCUCCUCUUACAUAUUCUAAUUAACUGUGACACUUGUCUACCUUCUAAAACCAGUUACCAAGCUGUGUCUUGAUGCUAAAGGUGAAGACAUUGUCCUCCUCUCCAUUUAAAUCACCUCCAUGCUGCUCCCUGCUCUGCUCCUGGAGCGUCUCACCACUGGAAUCUGUAUUCCAUGCUAGUUUGAUUUCCUGUGUCUCCUUCAUGCCCAGGGUUGCCAAGUCAUUCGUGAAAAUGCUGAUUUACAUAUCAAUGUUUCAUCUGCAUUUAUGAUUGUUUCUUUGGGGUUUCUUCAAAAUAAAACCCAAAAUUUGCUC
rnacentral:lncRNA from 1 species